UGGGGAAUAUUGGACAAUGGGCGAAAGCAUGAUCCAGCAAUACCGCGUGUGUGAAGAAGGCCUGCGGGUUGUAAAGCACUUUCAAUUGGGAAGAAGAGCUUAGGGUUAAUAACUCUGAGUCUUGACGUUACCUUUAGAAGAAGCACCGGCUAACUCC
rnacentral:rRNA from 1 species